UCCUGUGAAGAUGACACUGUUUUUGUAGAGGCCAUCAUGAAAUAUUCUGGUUGUACAAUAAUCUGAAUAUUGAUCAGAUCAAUUGAUUAAGCAUUUAAUUAUUCAAUUCUAUGUUGGACUUACGAGGCUCCAUUGCUUCAUCCUCAAUGGCUACGGGCAAGUGAGGAACUAUAGUUCUGAGUUUAGUGUCGUCAACUCGACUUAUUGAUUGUGGACUUCAUCAAUCGAUCAUAGUAACUGAUGAUUGUUGCUCAAAAUGUCCUCUAAAAUAUAAUUUUAACCUGUGGCCGUUUACCUUGAAUUUGUGUCCACCAUCGGGGCGUUGCAUAAUCCAAAAGGCAUUAUUCUAUAUGCAUAUGUUCCAUGAGGACAUGUAAAAUUUGUCUUAUCUUGAUCUUCAUGGGCAAUAGGUAUCUGAUUAUAGCCUGAAUAGCCAUCAAGAAAGCAGUACAAGCCAUAUCCUGCAAUUUUUUCCAACAUCUGAUCAAUAAAGGGUAAAGGAAAAUGAUCUUUUCUGGUGGCAUCAUUGAGACGUCUGUAGUCAAUAUAGACUCUCCAUCCAGUAAUCGUUCUAGUAGUAGCCUUAAUGUGCUUGUACAAAAGGUCAUCGAGGUUUGAAUAAGCAUGUUGAGGCCUUUGCUGAUAUGAAGUUGCUUGCUGAUAAGGUCAAAAAUUUGAUUGACCGUGAUUUUUAUUUGAGAAGCCAGGUGGAUUUUUGUAUAUGUUGCUUUUGGAAAGCUUGAGAGUUUUCAGCACCCUUUGGAUUGCUCCAUUGAAAUCCUGGAUGUUUUUGUGCCAUUGGACUUCCGAAAGGAUACGGUUUGUAUCCAAUGGCGCUAACCUGCUCAUCAUUUUGAUUGGUCACUUGACAUUCACUGUUCAAAUGGCUUCCUCCACACAUAUCACAAACCUCAAAUUGGCUUGAUUGUUGUGUAUUUACCUAAAAAGAUUCAAAUUUUUGUGCCAAAGAAGCAAUUUGUUAAGUUAAUGUAUUUAAAGCAUCUGCUUGAUUUACAU